AUUUUUUUUACUUCUUUUCAAAUAUAAAAAAUAUACAUCGAACUCUUUUUAUUUUGUCAUUAAUUUCCUCCUUUUCAAAUAUGAAUUUUUUUUAUUAUAACUUUUCUUACCUUUACUCUUUCAGUUCUUUACCCUCCCUUACCGUAAUUACCCUUUUCUCGCCUCAUCCAAAUUGAACAGGAAUCCUGCGUUAACCAUAAUUUGCUGAUUUACCUCGUUUGACUUCUUUCAGGUUGCGCAUCAUUCUGCCUGACGAUCUCAGUUUGUAGAGUUAGUUCAUUGCUUGAAAGCUUCUUUUUGAACAAGAAGUCAUUCUUGUUUCGUAAAUUACUAGCUGGAAUUUAUAAUGUCUUUGUAGUAAUCCCUUCUUUUUUAGUUAAUACUUUAAUCAGCUUUGGUGGACUUGGAAUGCUCCCAUCAAGAUCCCUGAGCUGUCUUCGACUCCAGGCAAGACUUGCCACCCGAAUUUCCAUAUAGGUUUUAAGUUCUUUCUUCAACCACACGAAAGCUGUCCCAUCCCAUUUUUUCUUUUUCUUUUUUCUCUUUUAAUGUGUAAACUGUUAAUUGUAUUUUACAACUAAGGAGGGGGGGCGCCGCCUGCAAAGAAUUGGAAUUUGAUUCAUGAGGCCAUUAGCUCACUAGUUGAGCGCUUUAGAUACGGCCACAGAUCUAGGUUGGG
rnacentral:misc_RNA from 1 species